rnacentral:rRNA from 1 species
UGGGGAAUAUUGCACAAUGGGCGAAAGCCUGAUGCAGCAACGCCGCGUGAGUGAUGAAGGCCUUCGGGUUGUAAAGCUCUGUCUUUUGGGACGAUAAUGACGGUACCAAAGGAGGAAGCCACGGCUAACUACGUGCCAGCAGCCGCGGUAAUACGUAGGUGGCAAGCGUUGUCCGGAUUUACUGGGCGUAAAGGAUGCGUAGGCGGAUUUUUAAGUGAGAUGUGAAAUACCCGGGCUUAACUUGGGUGCUGCAUUUCAAACUGGGAAUCUAGAGUGCGGGAGAGGAGAAUGGAAUUCCUAGUGUAGCGGUGAAAUGCGUAGAGAUUAGGAAGAACACCAGUGGCGAAGGCGAUUCUCUGGACCGUAACUGACGCUGAGGCAUGAAAGCGUGGGUAGCAAACAGGAUUAGAUACCCUGGUAAUCCACGCCGUAAACGAUGAGUACUAGGUGUAGGAGGUAUCGACCCCUUCUGUGCCGCAGUUAACACAAUAAGUACUCCGCCUGGGAAGUACGAUCGCAAGAUUAAAACUCAAAGGAAUUGACGGGGUCAAUAGCUGUUUCC